UUGGACACAAAAUUUCAUCUUUAACAAAACAUUUACAUUUAAUUGAAGUGAAAGGUUUUAUUACGCCAACAACGCAAUUGUGUACAUCAGCUGUUUGAUAUGUCGCUGCCGUCUUCUAAAUGUUCAGGAAUCUGCCGAUCAAAAAAUUUCUCUGUUGUGUAGUUGUGUCGUGCCGGCGUGUCUUUGUGUUCAAAUUUAAAAUUUUCGCUCGCAGUCAUUUGUUUCUUAGUAGCACAGUGUAUUCCUAAGCGUCAUAAAAGCAAAUCAUAUGGUACAAUUUAAGAUGCUAAUUGAAGUCAUAAAGCACAAUGAGCAAUGGACGGCGAUAAGCACAAAACUUCCGAGCGAUUUUAUAUAAUUCUUGAUAAGCAUUCAUACUCACAUAUUAACAUAGGUAUACAUACAUAUAGUACAUACAUAUGAGUAAAAUGUAGAUCAUCCAUAUCAUACCAUCAAAAAUGUCUAAUCUCGACACCCGUUAUUGCACUUCUUCCAUUUAAAUAGUUAAGUAAUCCCUAUUUUAGUACUAAACGCAAUAAAGGGUUCCUUAAGGAUUGGUCGAUUCCCUCAGUAUUAAAAUAUCGAUCUGAGAUUUUGCAUACAUUCUUUUCUCCCCAAGAAGCUCCUCAUUCAGAAAAGCCGAUAUCGGACCACUAUGGCAUACAGCUGCUAUAAAAACUGAUCGAUCCAAACCAACUCUCUCAAAUCUUUAAGAUAUAUCCAAAGCAACGCUACAAUAUGUUCCUAAAAAUGUGACAUACCAUCUUUUAUUUACAUUUUAGAUAAUCUUACUUUCCAAAAACUUACUAAUUUUGAGUUGAAUUGUUUAGUCAAAUAGUUUAAAGUAAUAAAUAAAAUUGACUCGUCAAUAGUACGCAUAUCUGUCGAUAGACACUCGCAUGAUUAUGUGCAAGCACACACACAUACAUGUUAUGUCCAUAGCACUUAUAUACUUUGUUGGAAAUACUCCUAAAUCUCUCAAAAACUAUAUGCCUCUUUAAGCCGCCAUGCUUUCGCGUAUGAAAGUAUAUAGAUAUGUAUGAAAGUGUGAGAAAUUAUAUUUUAGUCUUUUUUUUUUAGCUUUUUUUCAUAGAAGACUGGUAAAGUUUCCAUGCGCCGCUGGCUUUUGGAAGUAUGCUACACUGCUUUAUUUCCAAUCAGUUCUCAAGCAGCUUUUGAUCAAAGUGGUUGAUUCAGUAUCGCAGCAACAAAGUUCGCAAUUACAUUCCCGGUUUUUAAAACGAAUUUGCCGGUCUCAAGUGUUCACCAUUUUGUCUGCUCUCUUAAAUUGACAAACUGCAUUUAAUACUUAAUUAAGGUAAAUUCAGGCCAAAUGUGCACUUAGACCAAUAGCUUACAUAAUUCCUAUUGGACAAAUUCGCAAAGACUUUAAUUUUGUCAGUAUUAAGUGUUUUUUUAAUAAAGUGAAAGAAAUUGGAGAGUGUUCACUGGAACACUUAUCUUAGGUUGUGUGACUUUCACUUGUCACUUCAUGGUUUGCCGGUAGUUGGCUUAAUAAAUUUGGCAUAAUUAGCAUGCAGAAAAAUUUUGUAUUUGAUAGAAUUUUAUACAUUUUUUGGACAGCGGAAAGCCCCCUUAAUAAAGAAGCUCCCAUUACAGGUCUCUAAACAGACGAACGAAGUACCCCAAAACAUGGCUGCCGAAGCUGAGACUCACUUGGAUCAUAUAUGCCGCUUGCAGUUCGACUCAGCGGUGCCACAUGUACGCCUAUCGGGCAUUGUCUGCACCAUUGGACCUGCCUCGCGCAGCGUUGAAAUGUUGGAGAAAAUGAUGGAAACCGGCAUGAAUAUUGCGCGCAUGAACUUCUCUCACGGAUCGCACGAAUACCAUGCCGAAACUGUGGCUAACGUUCGAGUUGCAGCUAAGAACUACUCAGCAAAGAUUGGUUAUGAAUAUCCAAUUGCAAUUGCAUUGGAUACCAAGGGACCUGAGAUCCGUACUGGCCUCAUUGAGGGCAGCGGUACUGGUGAGGUUGAAUUGAAGAGGAAUGAAACCAUCAAACUGUCAACCGACCCAGCCUACCUUGAGAAGGGCAACAAAGACACAAUCUACGUUGAUUAUACUAACAUCGUGAAGGUGGUUAAACCAGGCAAUCGCGUCUUCGUUGAUGACGGUCUCAUCUCAUUAAUCGUUAAGGAAGUGCAAAGCAAUGCUUUGGUAUGCCAAAUUGAAAAUGGUGGCGCCUUGGGCUCACGCAAAGGUGUCAAUUUACCCGGUGUACCCGUCGAUUUGCCAGCUGUGUCCGAGAAAGACAAAUCUGAUUUGAAAUUCGGUGUCGAACAGAAGGUCGAUAUGGUUUUCGCUUCGUUCAUUCGUAACGCCGCAGCGCUUACUGAACUUCGUGGUGUUUUAGGUGAGGAAGGAAAGAACAUCAAGAUUAUUUCGAAGAUUGAAAACCAACAAGGCAUGCAUAAUUUGGAUGAGAUUAUUGAAGCAUCCGACGGUAUUAUGGUGGCACGUGGUGAUUUGGGUAUUGAAAUUCCACCAGAGAAGGUAUUCUUGGCACAGAAGGCGAUGAUUGCCCGCUGCAACAAAGCCGGUAAGCCAGUCAUUUGUGCCACACAAAUGUUGGAGUCCAUGGUAAAGAAACCACGCCCCACACGUGCCGAAAUCUCUGAUGUGGCUAAUGCCAUUCUCGACGGUGCUGACUGUGUGAUGUUGUCCGGCGAGACCGCCAAGGGUGAAUACCCACUCGAAUGUGUGCUGACAAUGGCAAAGACCUGCAAAGAGGCUGAGGCAGCUUUGUGGCAUAGAAAUUUGUUUGCCGAUUUAGUGCGCGCCGCUCACACCUCCACCCUGGAUUCGCCCCAUUCUGUGGCCAUUGCUGCCGUUGAGGCUGCCUCAAAAUCGCUGGCUGCGGCUAUUGUGGUCAUCACGACUUCAGGAAAGUCGGCUCAUCUGAUUAGCAAGUAUCGUCCACGUUGCCCAAUUCUAGCGGUCACACGCUUCCCACAAACCGCUAGACAGGCGCAUUUAUACCGCGGCAUCAUACCACUCGUUUACAAUGAACCCGCUCAACCUGACUGGCUAAAGGAUGUCGAUGCUCGUGUGCAAUUCGGCGUGCAGGUUGGCAAGAAGAACGGUUUCCUUAAAACUGGCGAUGCUGUGGUUAUUGUAACUGGCUGGAAACAGGGUUCUGGAUUCACAAACACCAUGCGUAUUGUGUGCGUAAAUGUAGAUGAAAAUCAAGAGUGUGAAUGCAGUGAAUAAAGCGUAUGAUAACGGAAGUAAUGUAUGAUGAAUGACAGAGUGCAAGUUGAAAUGUUGAGCUGCGAAUUUUUGGAGAAUUUACAUUGAAUAAAGACCAUAGCCGUUGUAAUGCUACCUCGGACUCUGAUAUAACUAGAUGCAUACAUACAUAUAUAGAAAAAUACAUUAAGUAGCGCUCAAGGGAAAGCGCACAACUUCAUCCUGUUGCAGUGAAACUGAAAUACACGUAUUAAAUACAAAUCUACCUUCCGAUCGGUGGACUACAAAAUAAUUUAUUUAAAGGCUACUGUAAUUGAAUGUUGGUAUUAACUUAUCCCCUGCACUAGUGAAGAGGAAUAUUAAAUGUUAUGAAUUACAAAUUUUAAUAAAACAUAAACACAUUCA